UGGCAGGGAACUUUGACAGAGAGGGUAUUCUUGUCCUCCCGAACUAUUGAGAUGCUGCAACUUCUACCACUGGGCAAGAGGUAUAUAAGCCUAAAGUCCCACAGCACCAGACUCAAGAACAGAUUGUCAUCUUGUUGUGGUGAGAAGCUUGUGUGGUCCUGUGAUCCCGAGAGCGAUGCCGUCUGGAGCUAUGCUCCUGGUAGGGUCACCCACGGCGGUAAGGUCGAGGGUGAGGUCCCUGACAAAGAACAAUCCAACCAAGACCUCAACGGUGGA